rnacentral:rRNA from 1 species
AGAGUUUGAUCCUGGCUCAGGAUGAACGCUGGCGGCGUGCUUAACACAUGCAAGUCGAACGAACCUUCGGGUUAGUGGCGGACGGGUGAGUAACGCGUGAGAAUCUGCCCUCAGGAGGGGGAUAACGGCUGGAAACGGCCGCUAAUACCCCAUAUGCCGAGAGGUGAAAUGAAUUUCGCCUGAGGAUGAGCUCGCGUCUGAUUAGCUAGUUGGUGGGGUAAGAGCCUACCAAGGCUUCGAUCAGUAGCUGGUCUGAGAGGAUGAUCAGCCACACUGGGACUGAGACACGGCCCAGACUCCUACGGGAGGCAGCAGUGGGGAAUUUUCCGCAAUGGGCGAAAGCCUGACGGAGCAACGCCGCGUGAGGGAUGAAGGCCUCUGGGCUGUAAACCUCUUUUCUCAAGGAAGAAGAUCUGACGGUACUUGAGGAAUAAGCCACGGCUAAUUCCGUGCCAGCAGCCGCGGUAAUACGGGAGUGGCAAGCGUUAUCCGGAAUUAUUGGGCGUAAAGCGUCCGCAGGCGGCCUUGAAAGUCUGCUGUUAAAGCGUGGAGCUUAACUCCAUUUCAGCAGUGGAAACUACAAGGCUAGAGUGUGGUAGGGGCAGAGGGAAUUCCCGGUGUAGCGGUGAAAUGCGUAGAUAUCGGGAAGAACACCAGUGGCGAAGGCGCUCUGCUGGGCCAUAACUGACGCUCAUGGACGAAAGCCAGGGGAGCGAAAGGGAUUAGAUACCCCUGUAGUCCUGGCCGUAAACGAUGAACACUAGGUGUCGGGGGAAUCGACCCCUCCGGUGUCGUAGCCAACGCGUUAAGUGUUCCGCCUGGGGAGUACGCACGCAAGUGUGAAACUCAAAGGAAUUGACGGGGGCCCGCACAAGCGGUGGAGUAUGUGGUUUAAUUCGAUGCAACGCGAAGAACCUUACCAGGGUUUGACAUCCUGCGAAUCCCUUGGAAACGAGGGAGUGCCUUCGGGAGCGCAGUGACAGGUGGUGCAUGGCUGUCGUCAGCUCGUGUCGUGAGAUGUUGGGUUAAGUCCCGCAACGAGCGCAACCCACGUCUUUAGUUGCCAGCAUUGAGUUGGGCACUCUAGAGAGACCGCCGGUGAUAAACCGGAGGAAGGUGUGGAUGACGUCAAGUCAUCAUGCCCCUUACAUCCUGGGCUACACACGUACUACAAUGCUACGGACAAAGGGCAGCAAACUCGCGAGAGCUAGCAAAUCCCAUAAACCGUGGCUCAUUUCAGAUCGUAGGCUGCAACUCGCCUACGUGAAGGAGGAAUCGCUAGUAAUCGCAGGUCAGCAUACUGCGGUGAAUACGUUCCCGGGCCUUGUACACACCGCCCGUCACACCAUGGAAGUUGGCCACGCCCGAAGUCGUUACUCCAACCCGCAAGGGAGGAGGAUGCCGAAGGUGGGGCUGAUGACUGGGGUGAAGUCGUAACAAGGUA